UCAGGAUCAGCGACGGCAGCAUCUCGAGUCUGGUGCCAACAUGGAGGAUGCAGUAAGGCAUUCAGAGAGGCUCUGUGAUAAAAAGGGUAAUCAGACCUCUUCUUUUUUUGGGAACACCUGUCGAGACUUUGCAGUACAGGGGGCGAGGCCCAAAAGUUUCAGGUCACGGAAUCCAUAGAGGGGCCAUUAUUGGAAUAAUUUUCGGAUAACCAUCAGUUGAGUGCAUAUGUGCCAUCUACUUGAGCCGCCUACCAUCAAAUCAUGCAGACAGAACCUCACUUUAACAUCUCAUCUAAAGGAAACACUGGCAGGAGUGCAGCUCCCCUAAUGCUGUUAAUAAUCCAAUGACCUGGAGGGGGAAUAGAACCCACAACCACCAGUACCAAUGUUUAUUUAUGUUGGAAGACCACCAAGGAGGUUUAUUGUUGAAUUUCCCAUAAUACUAUACUCUUCUUGAGACAGCCAGCUCUAUGCAUCUAUCUCAAUGGGCAUAGAACUCCUCUGUGAAGCUACCUGGUGUGUAACCAUUGGAGCUGAGACAGCCAUAAGUACCUUUUGAUAUCUUGCCAUAGAAUUUGAUGAGGUAUCAAAGAACCAUUUUUCUCAUACUGUCUAAGAUGCUAAAAGCAAUUCAGAUGCUCUCCAGCCACAGAAUUUCCCCAGGGUGUUUCUUUGUAAUUGAUAAACCGUCAAACAAUGAUAUAUAUAUUUUUUUACAAUUUAGAGUAUUCAUUUCAUACCAAAGAGUGUAUUAUUACAGUUGAAUGAAUUUUAAAGCUCAGAAAAUUUAUUGCUCUAUUUGGUUUGCUAAUAAGGGACGUAUAUCCAUUUCUAAAGGGCAAUGCGUUUCAGCAGAGUGAGAAGAAUUAUUUAAAGAGGUAACUGGCAAUAAAACAUUUUUAUGUUUC